rnacentral:rRNA from 1 species
GUGUCAGCAGCCGCGGUAAUACGAAGGGGGCUAGCGUUGUUCGGAUUUACUGGGCGUAAAGCGCACGUAGGCGGAUUGUUAAGUCAGGGGUGAAAUCCCGAGGCUCAACCUCGGAACUGCCUUUGAUACUGGCAAUCUUGAGGCUGGAAGAGGUUGGUAGAAUUCCCAGUGUAGAGGUGAAAUUCGUAGAUAUUGGGAAGAAUACCAGUGGCGAAGGCGGCCAACUGGUCCAGAUCUGACGCUGAGGUGCGAAAGCGUGGGGAGCAAACAGGAUUAGAUACCCGAGUAGUCC